GCCGCAGACCGCCUUAUCGUCGUCUUGUCUUAUGAUGAGAGGGAGGAAAGUCCGGACACCACAGAGAAGCAUAGCGGGUAACACCCGUCGGCGUUAGAAAUGGCGCAAGGACAAGUGCAACAGAAAGUAUGUACAGGUAAUGCUGUAGUGAAACCAGGUAAACUCUAUGCGGUGAAAUACCAAGUAUAUCAGCAUUUAAGGGCUUCUCGUCCGUUGUUGAAGGGUAGGUAGCUUGAGUCUCGCAGUAAUGCGGGAUCUAGAUAAAUGAUAAGGUAUUGUUUCGUUUCGAUGAAACAAGAACAGAAUCCGGCUUACAGGUCUGCAUUUUUU
rnacentral:RNase_P_RNA from 2 species